rnacentral:rRNA from 1 species
UGGGGAAUAUUGCACAAUGGGGGAAACCCUGAUGCAGCGACGCCGCGUGAGUGAAGAAGUAUCUCGGUAUGUAAAGCUCUAUCAGCAGGGAAGAAAAUGACGGUACCUGACUAAGAAGCCCCGGCUAACUACGUGCCAGCAGCCGCGGUAAUACGUAGGGGGCAAGCGUUAUCCGGAUUUACUGGGUGUAAAGGGAGCGUAGACGGCGCUGCAAGUCCGGAGUGAAAGCCCAUGGCUUAACCAUGGUACUGCUCUGGAAACUGUGGAGCUUGAGUGCGGGAGGGGCAGGCGGAAUUCCUAGUGUAGCGGUGAAAUGCGUAGAUAUUAGGAGGAACACCGGCGGCGAAGGCGGCCUGCUGGACCGUAACUGACGUUGAGGCUCGAAAGCGUGGGGAGCAAA